rnacentral:misc_RNA from 1 species
UUUUUGGUUUUGCAACAUUCAAGGUGGCACCAAGACCUGUGGAUAUUCCACAACUGAGCACACAAACUUUGUCAAGAGGAGCGGCAGGGUUGAUCUUAGCAAGACAGCCAACAUGCACAACAGUGUAUUCACUAAAUGUGGAGGUGCCAAGAAAGUGGUGAAUGGGUUUCCCAUUGAUAGAGAAUCUCGACUGGCCAUCAGCAAGCAUAUGACCCCUAUCAGUAUUGAUUCUGAGGAGAUCACACAUGUUGCUUUCUUCUGAUUUACAGUGGCGGCACUCCUUGCAUUCCCCAGUGAACACAGGUAGGACAUGGUCACCUGGUUGGAGAUCAGUCCCCCCAGGACCGACACUCUCCACAAUUCCACUAGCUUCAUGACCAAAUAUGCGAGGAAAUAAUGGUGAUUGUCCCUUAGCUUCCCAGAAGUAAACAUCAGUGUGGCAUAAAGAGGUGAAGAGGAUCUUCAAACGAACUUCAUUAGCCUGUGGCGGUGCCACCUCUACUUCUUCAAUCACAAGUGGUUUUCCUGCCUCCCAUGCUACAGCAGCUUUACAGCGAAUGACCUGACCAGCGGUGCUAGACAUGACUACUUUCGAGUUUCAAAGACAAUGGAUGAUGAUGAAG